AUUGAACGCUGGCGGCAGGCUUAACACAUGCAAGUCGAGCGGAGAUGAGGUGCUUGCACCUUAUCUUAGCGGCGGACGGGUGAGUAAUGCUUAGGAAUCUGCCUAUUAGUGGGGGACAACAUUCCGAAAGGAAUGCUAAUACCGCAUACGUCCUACGGGAGAAAGCAGGGGAUCUUCGGACCUUGCGCUAAUAGAUGAGCCUAAGUCGGAUUAGCUAGUUGGUGGGGUAAAGGCCUACCAAGGCGACGAUCUGUAGCGGGUCUGAGAGGAUGGUCCGCCACGCUGGGACUGAGACACGGCCCAGACUCCUACGGGAGGCAGCAGUGGGGAAUAUUGGACAAUGGGGGGAACCCUGAUCCAGCCAUGCCGCGUGUGUGAAGAAGGCCUUAUGGUUGUAAAGCACUUUAAGCGAGGAGGAGGCUACUGAGACUAAUACUCUUGGAUAGUGGACGUUACUCGCAGAAUAAGCACCGGCUAACUCUGUGCCAGCCGCCGCAGUAAUAC
rnacentral:rRNA from 1 species